rfam:Oryza glumipatula chromosome 9, whole genome shotgun sequence.
AAAAAUUCAAUUCCUGAGUUUUCGCAUCUAACAUUUGACCGUUCGUCUUAUUUAAAAAAAAUAUAAAAAAAUUUAAAAAGAUAAAUCAUGCAUAAAGUAUUGUUCAUGUUUUAUCAUGAAAAUAGUAAUCAUAAAAAAAUUUCAUAUAAGACGGACGAUCAAACGUUAAACACGAAAACCAAAGAAUUCGGUCUUU